CCUACGGGUGGCAGCAGUAGGGAAUAUUGCUCAAUGGGGGAAACCCUGAAGCAGCAACGUCGCGUGGAGGAUGACGGUUCUCGGAUUGUAAACUCCUUUUGUUAGAGAAGAUAAUCACGGUAUCCAACGAAUAAGCACCGGUUAACUCCGUGCCAGCAGCCGCGGUAAUACGGAGGGCGCAAGCGUUACUCGGAAUGACUGGGCGUAAAGCGCGCGUAGGCGGGAUAGCAAGUCAGAUGUGAAAUUGUAUGGCUUAACCAUAGAACUGCAUUUGAAAAUGUUAUUCUAGAGUGGGGGAGAGGUAUGUGGAAUGCUUGGUGUAGGGGUAAAAUCCAUAGAGAUCAAGAAGAAUACUCAUUGCGAAGGCAGCCUACUAGAACAUGACUGACGCUGAUGCGCGAAAGCGUGGGGAGCAAACAGGAUUAGAUACCCCAGUAGUC
rnacentral:rRNA from 1 species